UACAGAGGUCCCAAGCGUUGUUCGGAUUCACUGGGCGUAAAGGGUGCGUAGGUGGUGAAGUAAGUCGGAUGUGAAAUCUCGGAGCUUAACUCCGAAACUGCAUUGGAAACUACUUUGCUCGAGGGUUGGAGGGGGGACUGGAAUUCUCGGUGUAGCAGUGAAAUGCGUAGAUAUCGAGAGGAACACCAGUGGCGAAGGCGAGUCCCUGGACAACUCCUGACACUGAGGCACGAAAGCCAGGGGAGCAAACGGG
rnacentral:rRNA from 1 species